UGGGGAAUCUUGGACAAUGGGCGCAAGCCUGAUCCAGCCAUGCCGCGUGAGUGAAGAAGGCCUUCGGGUUGUAAAGCUCUUUUGUCAGGGACGAUAAUGACGGUACCUGAAGAAUAAGCCCCGGCAAACUUCGUGCCAGCAGCCGCGGUAAUACGAAGGGGGCUAGCGUUGUUCGGAAUUACUGGGCGUAAAGCGCACGUAGGCUGAUUGUUAAGUCAGGGGUGAAAUCCCAGAGCUCAACUCUGGAACUGCCCUUGAUACUGGCAAUCUCGAGUCCGGAAGAGGUUAGUGGAAUUCCCAGUGUAGAGGUGAAAUUCGUAGAUAUUGGGAAGAACACCAGUGGCGAAGGCGGCUAACUGGUCCGGUACUGACGCUGAGGUGCGAAAGCGUGGGGAGCAAACAGGAUUAGAUACCCAUGUAGUCCCUGAGCGGGCUGGCAAGGCGCAU
rnacentral:rRNA from 1 species